rnacentral:rRNA from 1 species
AUUGAACGCUGGCGGCAUGCCUUACACAUGCAAGUCGAACGGCAGCGGACCUUCGGGUGCCGGCGAGUGGCGAACGGGUGAGUAAUAUAUCGGAACGUACCUUUCAGUGGGGGAUAACGUAGCGAAAGUUACGCUAAUACCGCAUAUUCUGUGAGCAGGAAAGCAGGGGAUCGCAAGACCUUGCGCUGAUUGAGCGGCCGAUAUCAGAUUAGCUAGUUGGUGAGGUAAAGGCUCACCAAGGCGACGAUCUGUAGCGGGUCUGAGAGGAUGAUCCGCCACACUGGAACUGAGACACGGUCCAGACUCCUACGGGAGGCAGCAGUGGGGAAUUUUGGACAAUGGGCGCAAGCCUGAUCCAGCCAUGCCGCGUGAGUGAAGAAGGCCUCGGUUGUAAGACUCUUUGUUUGGUAGAAUACCGGUUGGUUAAGUACCUG